rnacentral:rRNA from 1 species
UGGGGAAUUUUGGACAAUGGGGGAAACCCUGAUCCAGCCAUCCCGCGUGUGCGAUGAAGGCCUUCGGGUUGUAAAGCACUUUUGGCAGGAAAGAAACGUCAUGGGUUAAUACCCCGUGAAACUGACGGUACCUGCAGAAUCAGCACCGGCUAACUACGUGCCAGCAGCCGCGGUAAUCCGUAGGGUGCAAGCGUUAAUCGGAAUUACUGGGCGUAAAGCGUGCGCAGGCGGUUCGGAAAGUAAGAUGUGAAAUCCCAGAGCUCAACUUUGGAACUGCAUUUUUAACUACCGGGCUAGAGUGUGGCAGAGGGAGGUGGAAUUCCGCGUGUAGCAGUGAAAUGCGUAGAUAUGCGGAGGAACACCGAUGGCGAAGGCAGCCUCCUGGAAUAACACUGACGCUCAUGCACGAAAGCGUGGGGAGCAAACAGG